GAUCCUGGCUCAGAUUGAACGCUGGCGGCAUGCUUUACACAUGCAAGUCGAACGGUAACAGGUUAAGCUGACGAGUGGCGAACGGGUGAGUAAUGCAUCGGAACGUGCCCAGUCGUGGGGGAUAACGCAGCGAAAGCUGUGCUAAUACCGCAUACGAUCUAUGGAUGAAAGCGGGGGACCGUAGGGCCUCGCGCGAUUGGAGCGGCCGAUGUCAGAUUAGCUAGUUGGUGGGGUAAAGGCCCACCAAGGCGACGAUCUGUAGCUGGUCUGAGAGGACGACCAGCCACACUGGAACUGAGACACGGUCCAGACUCCUACGGGAGGCAGCAGUGGGGAAUUUUGGACAAUGGGCGCAAGCCUGAUCCAGCAAUGCCGCGUGCAGGAAGAAGGCCUUCGGGUUGUAAACUGCUUUUGUACGGAACGAAAAGGCUCUGGCUAAUACCCGGGGCUCAUGACGGUACCGUAAGAAUAAGCACCGGCUAACUACGUG
rnacentral:rRNA from 1 species